rnacentral:rRNA from 1 species
CGGGGGGAGCAAGCGUUGUUCGGAUCUACUGGGCGUAAAGGGCGCGUAGGCGGCCACCGCAAGUCGACUGUGAAAUCUCCGGGCUUAACCCGGAAAGGUCAGCCGAUACUGCGGGGCUAGAGUGCAGAAGGGGCAACUGGAAUUCUCGGUGUAGCGGUGAAAUGCGUAGAUAUCGAGAGGAACACCUGCGGCGAAGGCGGGUUGCUGGGCUGACACUGACGCUGAGGCGCGAAAGCUAGGGGAGCGAACGGGAUUAGAUACCCCGGUAGUCCUAGCCUUAAACGAUGAAUGCUUGGUGUCUGGGGUUUUAUAGUCCCCGGGUGCCGUCGCUAACGCUUUAAGCAUUCCGCCUGGGGAGUACGGUCGCAAGACUG